GCCAGCAGAGUGUAGUGGUUUGAGUGUUGGACUAUGAUCCUAAAGACCAGGGUUUGAAUCCCUGUUCAGUCA